rnacentral:ncRNA from 1 species
CUGGUUGAUCUUGCCAUAUUCUUGUCCCAAAGAUUAAGCCAUUCAAGUAUGAGUACACACAGUCGGUACAGUGAAACUGUGAAUGGCUCAUGAUAUCAGUUAUGGUUCCAUUGAUUGCUCCAAUGUUACUUUAUAACUGUUGCAAUUCUAUUGCUAAGAUAUGCCAACAAGUGCUGACCUUCAGUGACACGUACAUUUAUCAGACCCAAAACCCAUACAGCGUGCUUUCGGGUGCUCCGGACCCUUUUGGUGACCGUUCGUGGCACCGGUAUCUCAUUUGAAUGUCUGCCUAUCAACUUUCGAUGGUAGUUUCAGUGCCUAUCAUGGUGACCAUGAAUAACGAGGAAUCAGGGUUCGAUUCCGGAGAAGGAGCCUGAGAAACGGCUACCACAUCCAAGGAAGGCAGCAAGCACUCAAAUGAUCCACUGCAGAUUUGGGGAGGUAGUGACGAAAAAUAUCAAUAUAGGUCUCUUUUGAGGACCUGUUAUUGGAAUGAGUACCGUCCAAAUCCUUUAAUGAGGUGCCAUUACUGAUGUUAGAACUGAUGUUUAGAAGGAU